AGGUGGUGCAUGGGUUGUCGUCAGCUUCGUGUCGUGAGAUGUUGGGUUAAGUCCCGCAACGAGCGCAACCCUCGCCUCUAGUUGCCAGCAUUCGGUUGGGCACUCUAGAGGGACUGCCGGCGACAAGUCGGAGGAAGUGGGAUGACGUCAAAUCAUCAUGCCCCUUAUGACCUGGGCUACACACGUGCUACAAUGGGCGGUACAACGAGUUGCGAGUCGGUGACGGCGAGCUAAUCUCUUAAAGCCAAUCUCAGUUCGGAUUGUAGGCUGCAACUCGCCUACAUGAAGUCGGAAUCGCUAGUAAUCGCGGAUCAGCACGCCGCGGUGAAUACGUUCCCGGGCCUU
rnacentral:rRNA from 1 species